AAGCGGCGCUUGAAAAUGAUCAACUGUGAGCCUUCGCGUGGACGCACGACCGCAGGACGUGAUUUGAGGAUUUAAGUAGGCCAUGAAAAACUGACCGGUUCGAGGAGAUCAGAAAUUUUAAUCAUUCAAUUUUGGACCUUCAAGAAAGCCAGACGAACAAAAUUAACAGCAAGAGCAGUCCGAACUCAACUGAAGAAGCAGAAAAUCUCCGGACCUGACCCCUUCCCCCCUAAUUUCAAGCAACAACAAAUUUGCGGCAAUGCCGAAACUGAAUAACACGCCACCCCUUGAAGAGGACGAAUAUGAACAGCAACCCAACGAUGCGAUGGGCCGUCGGCGUAGGUCCCGACGCCGUUCCCGUUCUCGUUCGCGAUCGCGGCCACGUUCCAUGUCCCGCCGGCGUCGUAGCCGCAGCCGUCGUCGCCACUAGGAAAAACGACCGCCCCACUUUCCCCCCACACUAGACAAAAAGGGGUCGUUGAAAUUCGCACUUUUUACCUAAAUAAACAGUACUGAAAAAAGAAAUCAA